ensembl:ncRNA C36B1.16 ncRNA
AAGUCGAACAGAAAUUCAAAACAAAACGUCGCUAAACAACACGCACAUUCGUUAUUUCGGAGUGUCGUUUCAGGUUCUCGGUUGGUAAGCGAAGUACGGUAACACUCAUUUCAACUGUGCG